UGAACUGUUUCACUGCCAGACAAGGCUCCGCUGAUAGUCAGGUGUAGCAGUGGUAAGGUGUUGGGACUGCUGUUGGGUCAGCUGAUAGCCAGGUGUAGCAGUGGUAAGGUGUUGGGACUGCUGUUGGGUCAGCUGAUAGCCAGGUGUAGCAGUGGUAAGGUGUUGGGACUGCUGUUGGGUCAGCUGAUAGCCAGGUGUAGCAGUGGUAAGGUGUUGGGACUUCUGUUGGGUCAGCUGAUAGCCAGGUGUAGCAGUGGUAAGGUGUUGGUACUGCUGUUGGGUCAGCUGAUAGCCAGGUGUAGCAGUGGUAAGGUGUUGGGACUGCUGUUGGGUCAGCUGAUAGCCAGGUGUAGCAGUGGUAAGGUGUUGGGACUUCUGUUGGGUCAGCUGAUAGCCAGGUGUAGCAGUGGUAAGGUGUUGGGACUGCUGUUGGGUCAGCUGAUAGCCAGGUGUAGCAGUGGUAAGGUGUUGGGACUGCUGUUGGCUCCGCUGAUAGCCAGGUGUAGCAGUGGUAAGGUGUUGGGACUGCUGUUGGCUCCGCUGAUAGCCAGGUGUAGCAGUGGUAAGGUGUUGGGACUGCUGUUGGGUCAGCUGAUAGCCAGGUGUAGCAGUGGUAAGGUGUUGGGACUGCUGUUGGGUCAGCUGAUAGCCAGGUGUAGCAGUGUGGUAAGGUGUUGGGACUGCUGUUGGGUCAGCUGAUAGCCAGGUCUAGCAGUGGUAAGGUGUUGGGACUGCUGUUGGGUCCGCUGAUAGCCAGGUGUAGCAGUGGUAAGGUGUUGGGACUGCUUUAUACAGGCCCAGUUUGUUUAUCUCUUCCCAUUGACAUGCUAAAAUCAAAACUGAUCAGCACGUCUGAAGUCAAUAGACUUAGGUGAGACCAGGGACAGUUGGGACACAUCUUAUUAUUUCUUCCUAGUGAUAUUAAAUAGCUAUCAUCUCCCUAUGUGCCUCGGGAUGUCUGU